UACGGGGGGGGGCAAGCGUUGUUCGGAAUUACUGGGCGUAAAGGGCUUGUAGGUGGCCAACUAAGUCAGACGUGAAAUCCCUCGGCUUAACCGGGGAACUGCGUCUGAUACUGGAUGGCUUGAGUGUGGGAGAGGGAUGCGGAAUUCCAGGUGUAGCGGUGAAAUGCGUAGAUAUCUGGAGGAACACCGGUGGCGAAGGCGGCAUCCUGGACCAUUACUGACACUGAAAAGCGAAAGCCAGGGGAGCAAACGGG
rnacentral:rRNA from 1 species